GACGAACGCGGCGGCGUGCCUAAUACAUGCAAGUAGAACGCUGAAGGAGGAGCUUGCUUCUCCGGAUGAGUUGCGAACGGGUGAGUAACGCGUAGGUAACCUGCCUGGUAGCGGGGGAUAACUAUUGGAAACGAUAGCUAAUACCGCAUAAGAGUAGAUGUUGCAUGACAUUUGCUUAAAAGGUGCAAUUGCAUCACUACCAGAUGGACCUGCGUUGUAUUAGCUAGUUGGUGGGGUAACGGCUCACCAAGGCGACGAUACAUAGCCGACCUGAGAGGGUGAUCGGCCACACUGGGACUGAGACACGGCCCAGACUCCUACGGGAGGCAGCAGUAGGGAAUCUUCGGCAAUGGACGGAAGUCUGACCGAGCAACGCCGCGUGAGUGAAGAAGGUUUUCGGAUCGUAAAGCUCUGUUGUAAGAGAAGAACGAGUGUGAGAGUGGAAAGUUCACACU
rnacentral:rRNA from 1 species